AGUGCAGCUGAAGGGCUGGUUACUGAAGACACUCUAAAACAUCGUUAAAGGAGCCCUAAGCCUGCACUGGAAUCUGAGCCCGGAGAGGGGUUGUGGCUCAUGGGGGCGUCAGCAGGUGCUUCCCGCCCUGGGAUCCCCACUCUGAUAUCACCACUGUGCAAUGGCUGAGGGUCCUCCAAUGGGCCAUGCGUUCCCGCUGGGAGCAGGUCUCUGGCCGGCCAGAAGAUAAAGCCUGGGUCAGAGACAUUCGUCCUCUUGGAGCAUUUCAGGACCUCUUCCACAUUCAGAUAUGUGCCCACUUUUUAAUUCAUGGGGCCUGAUUUUCAGAGAUGUUGCGCACCCAUUGCAGCUCCCUUUGACUUUGACCAGGUAAGCAGAAUGAUCCAGUGGAUUUGACACUGGCCUGGAAAUCAGAAGACCUAGCUAUUACUGCAUGACCAUCCCCGCUCCCACAUCCAGCAGAAGAAUUGGCUACAUUACAUAUAACCAAGCACUCAAGCCGCAUAUAUCUGAGCUAUAACACAGGGGGACUCAGCCUGGCGUCAAUACUGAGUUUCACUGGAGUCCCCGUUGACAACAUUGACAGAGACAAUGUUCUGUCUGUAUAGAUGUAUAUGUCGCUGUAUGUAAUGUCUAUAAGAGGUAAUGUUGUAUGUUGGAUAAAACUGCUUUCAAGGGGGAAGAAUCAGAAUUGCUCAAACAGGUAUCAGAUAUUAGGUUUUUGGGGACUGGAACUCAGAUUUGUUAUACCCUGGAGCAUGAGGAUCUGGGCUCUCUGCCUCCUGUUGCCAUGUAGUUCUGAAUGGCUCAGCUGUACUGCACAGUGACAAAGAUGAAGGGCUAAGCGGCCAUGCUUUUCUUAUAAUACAAUUGGUCCCUUUGUCGAGUGCUGAUAUGGAGACAUCUAUGAGCAGAUUCAUACAGAUUAAAAGGGAAACUCUGAAAAAACUCGACACGAGUUCCCUAUUCUUAAGGGAGAGUUUUAUUACUGUGUUCCCUUAAUAAAUUAUGCAUUUCCAAUAUUAUUUGCUAUUCUGUUAUUAAACACUUGGUGUGUAUGUGUGUGCGGGGGGAUAAUAUGGGGAAAAUACAAUUUUAGCCACCAUUUACUUUUAGUAAGAAUAAAAAAGAGGAAAUGACUAGAUCUAGUAUUCAAGAACAUGUCUGUAGUGUUCUCUUUCUGCUAACUGCUGAGCCUCACAAUCCAUAGCAAGGUAUUUGUGAGGACUUGUGUAUGUUGAUAUGUACAGACAUUAUCAAAUUUGACCAUAGAAGUCGGCCAUUCUGUACAUCUUAAUAAAGCUGUUUGUCAUGGGGGAAAUAUUGAGGUGGUGGUGUAAUCAUGACCUUUUCAUGGAGAAAAGGUCUAAAAGUCAUCACAUUUGCUUUAAAAAUAGUUUUCAUUUACAUAAACUUUAUCGUCACUUAGAAAAAUCAGAGUAAAUGUGUACUGUUUCUUUAAAUCUAUUGCAGGCAUUCAGACUGAAGAUGUCUGGGGAAGUUUUCUAAUGAAACAGAGAUAAACAGUAGCUUUAGGCAUAAUGCUGCAUUCAUUAUUUAAAUGAAGUUCCUUGUUUAGAGUUUGUGACCCUUUUAUGUAAUUCUUUAUCAUCACA